CCCACUACUGUUGUACGGCAUUGCUUUAGUAGUAUUUUUCUUUUCUGUUUUGGUUUGGUUUGGGUGAUGCAGUGGUGGCAGUCGAAGUCGCAUGCCAAUCCGCAUCCAUAGAAUCCACGGCCAUAGCCACAGCUGUCAUCUAAGCGAGAACGACUGCGUUGCACUGUGUUAAGCUCGAGAUGCUUGUAUUCGUUGAAUAUGAAGUGGACAUGACCACUGCGGUUGUCAGGCACACCGCAGUGCAAAACUUUAACCCAGAGAAUGUCGUGGAUUUCGAUCCAAUUGUCCUCUACGACGUGUGGUGGAACGGCGAUGCGACAGAGUGCUGCACAUGGCUGAAACUGAAGAAAUGGUGCUGCACACGUCGAAAAGGCUCAGAAAUCUGUCCUUAGAAAAGGGCAAGAGCACCAAAGGAAUUAUAACUGCCAUGGCCUCUAUGGCACCUUUGUCACAGGAGCAUGCUGACAUGGACAUAUUCACUGGAGAGGCCAUCGAUGUUGUCAUCGGAUCCUCAAGAGAUGACGGAAAGGUGUAUGCUGGAUCCGGGCAAUGAAUAGAAAAGGCUGCUUGGGGGACAUUGUUGCGGUCUACGUCUGACUAUGUUCUGCCGUAUGGCGUCCACAACGUAUUGGAUGCCAGAUGAGCUUAAGAACAGAAGCGUGACCGGGACUUUGUCCAACAAGUCGCGAUCCAAGGGAAGGACUGAGGCCAGACCAGCCGUGACACCACAAAAGUUGUCAUCCUUGAAAAGUAUAUGAACAUACUGUUCUAAUGAACUGAUCUACUCAUGUAUAGAUGGCACAUGCAAAUAGCCACAGUAAAAGCGAAGCUAGUGCUAAAGCACUGUGUUGCGAUCAUCUGCUACUGAAAUAUUUCAUGUUAAAACUGUAGAAAGAAUUUGAGGCAUGUGAGUUAACAUGAAAAAAGUAAUCUGCAGUUUGGUUAUUGAAAAUGCAGCUUUGCAAAAAUAUUUCAUUGAACCGUGGGCAUAUUGUUGGGAACUUGCACUGUGCAUGCUGGAAAUUAUUGUUUAGAUGCUUUCAUUAAUUUUGUACUCGUGAUUGCUUUUCUUGCGCAGGCCUCCUCCGGAUCUUCAUGGGCAACCGUGUCAUGCCGGAAGACGAGAAAAAAAAAGAUUGAAAGAAGUGCGCAGGCAAUUGGUGCAGAAACUCGCUGACGCGCAAAGAAGGUAGUGCUACUGGUACUGAUUGCUACGGGGCUUGUCCCAAAAGUUUGUGCACUGAGCCAGCAAAAACGCGGCAGAGAAUGUAGUGACAUGAACUGCUCAAACUUCUGGGACAGACUUUGUAUAUUUACCUUACCAGCUUAGCACUUCUACCUUUCUUUGUGGAGUUAGUGCUUACCGUAUUUACUAAAAAAUAGGUCCAACAUGAGUAUAGGUCGACCACUAUAUAUUGAAUUAGUUGAGAAAUUUAGAAAAUUUUAGUUUGAAUUAAGUCAGCCAAUAUCUUUCUUUAGCAGUAGUAGUGUAAACUUAAAUUAUUUCUCUUAAGGGUCUUGGGUGGUGGGUGGGUGCCUCAGUUUAGAGCUCCAUUGGUCUCUGCAGCUUGCUGGGCUUGAUCGAGAAGAGCUCUCUGGCUCUCUAGAUUUUCGCUAGCAAGCCAAACGUCCCGCUGCCUGUUGCUUGGAAUUUGCGCCGUUAGGGGGUGAAUUUAGAAUUUGGAAGUCGUUGCUUACAUAUCCACAUUACAGGACGAGACUUGGCCCACCAAGGGAAGUGGCAGGGUGUAUGCAUCUUGUGAAGUAUUUGGAUGUAUGGAUAUGCGUGGAGGACCACACAAAUAGCGAAGGAACGAAAAAGAUUAGGUCUAUCUUAAAGAGACGGGAAGAGUGUGGAUCAGAGAGCAAAUGGCGAUAGCCGAUAUUCUUGUUAACAUUAAGAGGGGAAAUGGAACUGGGCAGGCCAUGUAAUGCGUAGGAUGGAUAACCGGUGGAUCAUUGGUUACGAAAUGGAUACCAAGAAAGGGAAGCGCAGUCGAGGAUGGCAGAAAACUAGGUGGGGGGAUGAAGUUAGGAAAUUUGCAGGCGCAAGUUGGAAUCUGCUAGCGCAGGACAGGGGUAAUGGAGAUCGCAGGGAGAGGCCUUCGUCCUGCAGUGGACAUAAGUAUAGGUUGAUGAUGAUGUGUGUUUGUAAGAAGAGCCAGUACCUGGCCUGUUUCCCUGUACGGUCUGGGUGUAGGUGGCUGUAUUUUUGUCUCUUUGGUCUCCGAGGAUGUCGUGCUGGUGGAUCAGGGGUAUUCCAGUAAAACACGUUGUGGGGCUAGUUGGUGCAUAGCUUUCAAAAGAUGAAGCGCCAACAGUGACAGCACAUUAGGAAGGAACAAAGACAGGACAGGCGCUACUUGCAACUGUUUAUUGUGGUCAAAGGUGGUUGAAUAUAUAGCCAUGGGGAGAGGGGGGGACGAAAAAGGCGGAACACUGAUUGUAUGAAUGCGCACGCGUGAGAACACUGAAGAUGUGCAUGAAGGAAAUGGCGAAUCUAAAACUUAUCUAAAAACACACUUUCAUUUGUGUAUAUAUUCAGAGACGGGGAGCUGACACAUGUUUCCCCUCUCUUCCUAAUCUGGUUGGCCUCCAACAAUUCACGUGCCACAGAGUCUUUACUUUUAAACAAGAUUGUAGUAUCUUGAAGCCUUGCUUCACAUGCUUGUUUAUUUUCAUUGCCGCAGGCCUUGCAAUGAAGAGGCAAGUUUGAGCCAUAACCAUAUUUCAAUGAAAGCUUAUGCUCCCGCAGGCGAUCAUUAAUACAUCGGCCAGUUUGGCCGACGUACUCUUUCCCACACUUCAGCGGUAUACGGUAUACAACUCCUUCCUCACACUUCACAAAAGGAUUCGUAUGUUUAAUGGAACACCCUGCUUUCUUAGAGUUAUCAGAACCAAUCAGGCGGCACAAAGUAGCAAGUUUUCGGGGUGCGGAAAAAACCACAGGAAUUUUGUAUUUGACAGCGACGUGUUUAAGAUUGUGCGCCACUUUGUGAGAAUACGGAAUCACCAUUGGUUUGGCUUUCUUUUCGAAUGUUUGACCUUCUUCAGUGCUUCUUUUUCUUUCUUUUUUCACCUUUUUCAAUAACGCCUCCGAAACUGCACUUACAACCGAACAAGGGAAGCCAGCCUUCCUCAAUUUCAAAAUCUGUUCGUCAAAGCUUCCUUGUGCCUUAUGACAGCACGAAUUUUUAAGGGCGGAUUCGAGGCACAUAGUGGCAAUCGCACGUUUAACAGUCUUGGAGUGUGUAGACUCAUACGGCAACAAUUCCUUGUGGGCACGGGGUCGAUACAUCCAGCAGGAACCUUCGUCAGUAAGGGUUAUGUCAAGAUAUAAAAACUGCAAGCUGUUAUCCUUGGCUAGUU